GACCAUCUCCUAAGGCUAAAUACUCUCUAGUGACCGAUAGUGAACCAGUACCGUGAGGGAAAGGUGAAAAGUACCCCGGAAGGGGAGUGAAAGAGAACUUGAAACCGUGUGCUUACAAGUAGUCAGAGCCCGUUAAUGGGUGAUGGCGUGCCUUUUGUAGAAUGAACCGGCGAGUUACGAUCUGAUGCAAGGUUAAGCAGAAAAUGUGGAGCCGUAGCGAAAGCGAGUCUGAAUAGGGCGAAUGAGUAUUUGGUCGUAGACCCGAAACCAGGUGAUCUACCCUUGGUCAGGUUGAAGUUCAGGUAACACUGAAUGGAGGACCGAACCGACUUACGUUGAAAAGUGAGCGGAUGAACUGAGGGUAGCGGAGAAAUUCCAAUCGAACUUGGAGAUAGCUGGUUCUCUCCGAAAUAGCUUUAGGGCUAGCCUCAAGUGAUGAUUAUUGGAGGUAGAGCACUGUUUGGACGAGGGGCCCCUCUCGGGUUACCGAAUUCAGACAAACUCCGAAUGCCAAAUAAUUUAACUUGGGAGUCAGAAUGUGGGUGAUAAGGUCCAUAUUCGAAAGGGAAACAGCCCAGACCACCAGCUAAGGUCCCAAAAUAUAUGUUAAGUGGAAAAGGAUGUGGCGUUGCCCAGACAACUAGGAUGUUGGCUUAGAAGCAGCCAUCAUUUAAAGAGUGCGUAAUAGCUCACUAGUCGAGUGACACUGCGCCGAAAAUGUACCGGGGCUAAACAUAUUACCGAAGCUGUGGAUUGUCCUUUGGACAAUGGUAGGAGAGCGUUCUAAGGGCGUUGAAGCAUGAUCGCAAGGACAUGUGGAGCGCUUAGAAGUGAGAAUGCCGGUGUGAGUAGCGAAAGACGGGUGAGAAUCCCGUCCACCGAUUGACUAAGGUUUCCAGAGGAAGGCUCGUCCGCUCUGGGUUAGUCGGGUCCUAAGCUGAGGCCGACAGGCGUAGGCGAUGGAUAACAGGUUGAUAUUCCUGUACCACCAUUAUUCGUUUUAAGCGAUGGGGGGACGCAGUAGGAUAGGCGAAGCGUGCUGUUGGAGUGCACGUCCAAGCAGUGAGAUUGAGUGUUAGGCAAAUCCGGCACUCUUAAGAUUGAGCUGUGAUGGGGAGAGGAACUUGUUCCUCGAGUCGUUGAUUUCACACUGCCGAGAAAAGCCUCUAGCUAGAAUAACGGUGCCCGUACCGCAAACCGACACAGGUAGUCAAGAUGAGAAUUCUAAGGUGAGCGAGCGAACUCUCGUUAAGGAACUCGGCAAAAUGACCCCGUAACUUCGGGAGAAGGGGUGCUCUUUGAGGUUCACGCUUCGAAGAGCCGCAGUGAAUAGGCCCAAGCGACUGUUUAUCAAAAACACAGGUCUCUGCUAAACCGUAAGGUGACGUAUAGGGGCUGACGCCUGCCCGGUGCUGGAAGGUUAAGAGGAGUGGUUAGCGCAAGCGAAGCUACGAAUCGAAGCCCCAGUAAACGGCGGCCGUAACUAUAACGGUCCUAAGGUAGCGAAAUUCCUUGUCGGGUAAGUUCCGACCCGCACGAAAGGCGUAACGAUUUGGGCACUGUCUCAACGAGAGACUCGGUGAAAUCAUAGUACCGGUGAAGAUGCCGGUUACCCGCGACAGGACGGAAAGACCCCGUGGAGCUUUACUGUAGCCUGAUAUUGAAAUUCGGUACAGUUUGUACAGGAUAGGUAGGAGCCUUAGAAGCGUGAGCGCUAGCUUACGUGGAGGCAUUGGUGGGAUACUACCCUAAUUGUAUUGGAUUUCUAACCCGCAGCACUUAUCGUGCUGGGAGACAGUGUCAGGCGGGCAGUUUGACUGGGGCGGUCGCCUCCUAAAGAGUAACGGAGGCGCUCAAAGGUUCCCUCAGAAUGGUUGGAAAUCAUUCAUAGAGUGUAAAGGCAUAAGGGAGCUUGACUGCGAGACCUACAAGUCGAGCAGGGUCGAAAGACGGACUUAGUGAUCCGGUGGUUCCGCAUGGAAGGGCCAUCGCUCAACGGAUAAAAGCUACCCCGGGGAUAACAGGCUUAUCUCCCCCAAGAGUUCACAUCGACGGGGAGGUUUGGCACCUCGAUGUCGGCUCAUCGCAUCCUGGGGCUGUAGUCGGUCCCAAGGGUUGGGCUGUUCGCCCAUUAAAGCGGUACGCGAGCUGGGUUCAGAACGUCGUGAGACAGUUCGGUCCCUAUCCGUCGUGGGCGUAGGAAAUUUGAGAGGAGCUGUCCUUAGUACGAGAGGACCGGGAUGGACAUACCUCUGGUGUACCAGUUGUCGUGCCAACGGCAUAGCUGGGUAGCUAUGUAUGGACGGGAUAAGUGCUGAAAGCAUCUAAGCAUGAAGCCCCCCUCGAGAUGAGAUUUCCCAACUUCGGUUAUAAGAUCCCUCAAAGAUGAUGAGGUGAAU
rnacentral:rRNA from 1 species